rnacentral:RNase_P_RNA from 1 species
AGCAGAGCAGGCGAUCGCGGCUGCCGCAAGGCAGGUGAGGAAAGUCCGGGCUUCACAGGGCAGGAUACCGGCUAACGGCCGGCGGAGGCGACUCCCGGGAAAGUGCAACAGAGAUAUACUUCUCCGCUUCGGCGGAGUAAAGGUGAAAAGGCAGUGUAAGAGACUACCGUCCCUGCAGUAAUGCAGAGAGCCAUGUAAACCCUAUCCGAAGCAAGGCCAAGAAACCGGGGAUAUCCCCGGUACGAACGCGUUUGAAUCCGGCCCGGAGAGCGUUCGGGUUGGCCGCUUGAGGCCUGCGGUAACGCAGGUCCUGGAAAGAUGAUCGUCCAACGACAGAACCCGGCUUAUCGCUCUGCUCA